ACUUGGUGAUGUGGGCAUUUACGUAGAAGGUCCCUAAAGCCCUCUUAUGUCUCGAAAAAAUUUUCACCAUCUAUAUGUGAGGAGCUGGUGAUUGCCUUCCUAAGCU